rnacentral:lncRNA from 1 species
GAAAUAAUGGAUGGUUGGUAAAACAAAUGAUGGGUUUUUAAAACAGGGUGUUUGAUUUUCUCCCCAAACAAAGGAAGUAAAUUUGCCAAAAUCCCCAAAAACAAGUUAUUUGCUUCAUCCUAAGGUGAAAGAGGGUCCCAAAUAUAAGUGGGAAGUGGGUGAUAGAGCAGUGACAACUUUACUUAGUAGGGCACCUACCCUAAUGAUCAUUAUGGUGCCUUAUAAAUCUCUCAAAACAUUCUUGCUUGGUAGGGCCUCAUUUUCUUGUCAUUUUAGAAGGACAAUCUAAA